UUGCUACAUUUGUAGAAACGGUCAGUCUGUAUGGAAAUUGUGUAAAUUUUCAGAUUUUCCGUGAGAAUUUUAGUUUAUUUUCACAUUAGUUAGCGAGAAUAUUGGUUUUGAAUAAGUUCAUUCUUGACUAGGAUGAAAUGAAUUUUACCAUAUAUUUUGAGAGGAACGGAAAUUGGGGUUUUGUAGAAGAAAUAUUGGAUGGCCAAUCUUGAUAACAAGACCGGUCAAGCAAGAAUGAGAAUGGAAUUGCACUUCCAUUCUUUUCCAAUACUUGCCACCAAAUUCCCCUUAAAUUUAUUUUAGAACUCGUUAUUUGAAACGAUUAUUCAUUCCUCCUUUUUUUUUUUUGGUGUGUGAUCUUUUUUAAGCAAGUUAUGAUUGCCACAGUUCCAUAUAAAGACAUAACACCAACCUUUUUCCUUUUUUUGUGUUUUUUUUUUUUUUUGCCCUUUUGCUUAAAUGACAAAUGCAGGAUCAGUAAAUGGAGCAAACUGCAAAGAACUGGCAGCACAGCCAGAUGUGGAUGGCUUUUUGGUUGGUGGAGCCUCUCUAAAGGUUUACUCUUCAGAUAUGUCUUAUUUCACCAUUUUACGACUUGAUUUUGCUUUCUUUUAGUUAAACCUUAUUUUUUUUAAUCUUUGUAAUGAAUCAGCCCGAGUUUAUUGAUAUUAUCAAGUCUGUGACUGUGAAGGAGAGUGCAUGAACUUUGAAGUUGUAUAUUGGGACGAUGAGCAUCCAGCCGUUUCUUUACUUGUGGUAAACUUUAUUUGCAAGUUUGUGCUCGAAUUUGUAAGUUGGAAAAAUGUCAGUUGGCUUGUUUUCUUCUACCCGCCUCAUUCAUUAGACUUGAGACCCCCUUUUUUUGUCUCUCCCAGUCACUAACUUGGGGGGGAAAAAAGGUGUUCGGACUACCCUAUGAUUUGGUUGACUAGCGUUUUUAACCCUAAAAAGACAUUGCUUUACAUUAGACUGUCGGAAGGCACAAGGAAAUUCACAGGUUGCAGCAGGCAUUGUGUUUGGGGUGUCUGUGGGUUGGAUAGUUGUGAUUUGGAAUAGAAAUCGUAAGACAUUGGGUUUUCAUGAACGAAUUUGAUGAUCUUCCGGUAUGUCUUCUAAACAGACUCAUCGGCAACACUUCCAAAGAGUGCUAGGAUGAUUAAUCAUGUUCUUGACUGGGUUUGGAAUAAUGCUAUUUAGCUCGAUUGGUGCUAGAACUCCAGUCUAGGUGGGGGGUUAAGUGAUUGGCUCAAUGAAAGAUUGAAUUAAGAGAUUCAUUCAUAUUUGUGUCACUUAAAAUAGUAUUAUAAUAUCAGCAGUGCUAAAUAUCAUUAUUCCUGGAUUUGACGUAUCCUCACAAGUUUUAUCCAUGUUUGACUGGUUGUUGAUAAUGUGAAAUUCAAUCCACUGGUGCUACUGGACCGUUCAUAUCUGGUUCUUGGAUUUUCAGUCUGAACCAGUCAGUCUCCUGGAACAUAACUCUUAUCAAAAUUUCAACUUUUUAGCCAUAACUGCUUAUGGGUUUUGUAAAAUGCCUGAAUCUGAUUCUUAUGUGCCCAUGCCUUGGCCGUAGCCUGCAAUGGUCCCUGUUAUCAUCCUGCGCCCGCUGCCCCACAGGCUCCGUAAUUGAAUAUUUUUGGCUCCAUACUAUAGUUUGAUACGAUGUUUGGCUACGCUUAAAAAAAAAUGUAAAAAAUUACUUUUGAGGCUAGUUUGGAUAAGCUUUAAAGUAUGUGAAGGUCAUCGUUUAUUCACGUGCCCUUUGAAAUAUGCAAAGAUUGAAGAGUAUUUUUUUGUUCUUCCUAGUCGGACAGAAUGUAACUGGAUAACACCGGGCUCCUUAAUUAAUGUUAAAUGAUUGAUCAGAAGGAUUUGAACUUAGUAUGCAAGAUUAACG
rnacentral:lncRNA from 1 species